rnacentral:rRNA from 1 species
UACGGGGCAGCAGUGGGGAAUAUUGGACAAUGGGCGAAAGCCUGAUCCAGCCAUGCCGCAUGAGUGAAGAAGGCCUUCGGGUUGUAAAGCUCUUUUAGUGAGAAAGAUAAUGACGGUACUCACAGAAGAAGUCCUGGCUAACUCCGUGCCAGCAGCCGCGGUAAUACGGAGAGGGCUAGCGUUAUUCGGAAUUAUUGGGCGUAAAGAGCGCGUAGGCUGAUUAGUAAGUUAAAAGUGAAAUCCCAAAGCUUAACUUUGGAAUUGCUUUUUAAAACUGCUAGUCUAGAGAUUGAAAGAGGAUAGAGGAAUUCCUAGUGUAGAGGUGAAAUUCGUAAAUAUUAGGAGGAACACCAGUGGCGAAGGCGUCUAUCUGGUUCAAAUCUGACGCUGAGGCGCGAAGGGCGUGGGGAGCAAACAGGGAUUAGAUACC